UACAGGGGGUGCAAACGUUGUUCGGAAUUACUGGGCGUAAAGCGUGUGUAGGCGGCCGCGCAAGUCGGAUGUGAAAGCCCCGGGCUCAACCCGGGAAGUGCACCCGAUACUGCAUGGCUCGAGUACUGGAGAGGUUGGUGGAAUUCUCGGUGUAGAGGUGAAAUUCGUAGAUAUCGAGAGGAACACCGGUGGCGAAGGCGGCCAACUGGACAGAUACUGACGCUGAGACACGAAAGCGUGGGGAGCAAACAGG
rnacentral:rRNA from 1 species